rnacentral:tRNA from 1 species
GGUAGAAUGGCCGAGGUUUAAGCGAUAAACUGUAAAUUUAUUUAGGAGAUUUUAUCUCUUCUACCA